AGUAAUCUCUGCCCCAUGAAUCGUUUUAAUGGCCGCAGUACUUUGACUGUGCAAAGGUAGCAUAAUCAUUUGCUUCUUAAUUAGGAGCUGGAAUGAAAGAGGCGACGAAAUCUAGGCUAUUUAAAUUUUAAGAGAAAUUGACACACAAGUUAAAAGGCUUGUAUAGACCAGAGGGACGAUAAGACCCUAUAAAACUUUACUUUUUGUGUAAUGUUUGAACAGGGUGGCUUUACACUAAAGAGUUUAACUGGGGCGGUAGUUAUAAAAACAAUUAUAUAUUUAAUAUAUUAAAUAGUACUAUAGAACUCUUAGAGAAAUAGAACAAGUUACUUUAGGGAUAACAGCGUAAUUCUCUCAGAGAGUCCUAAUUGGCGGGAGAGCUUACGACCUCGAUGUUGAAUUGGGGUCUCUUGUAUAAGCAAAAAUAUACCUAGACAGUCUGUUCGACUAUUAAAUCCCC
rnacentral:rRNA from 1 species